CAAUAGCGUAUAUUAAAGUUGUUGCAGUUAAAAAGCUCGUAGUUGGAUUUCUGGUGGGAGCGAUCGGUCUGGCGCUUAGCGCGAGUACUUGCAUCGUCUCCGGCCAUCCUUGGGGAGAGUCUGUCUGGCAUUAGGUUGUCGGGCAGAGGAUCCUCAUCGUUUACUGUGAAAAAAUUAGGGUGUUCAAAGCAGGCUUAUGCCGUUGAAUAUAUUAGCAUGGAAUAAUAAGAUAGGACUUUGGUACUAUUUUGUUGGUUUGCGCACCAAAGUAAUGAUUAAUAGGGACAGUUGGGGGUAUUCGUAUUCCGUUGUCAGAGGUGAAAUUCUUGGAUUUACGGAAGACGAACUACUGCGAAAGCAUUUACCAAGGAUGUUUUCAUUAA
rnacentral:rRNA from 1 species